rnacentral:lncRNA from 10 species
AUUGCCCAGGGCCGGCAGGGCCGGCCGUCUGCUCUGAGUGCGGGGCCCCCCAAGCCCACGCCCACCCGGAACUCCAGCUGGCCUGCAAGCGCCGCGCGCAGCCCCCGGUUCCCGCUCGCGCCUCUCCCUCCACACCUCCCUGCAAGCUGAGGGAGCCAGCCGGCUCUGGCCUUGGCCAGCCCAGAAAGGGGCGUCCACAGUGCAGCGGUGGGCUGAAGGGCUCCUCAAGUGCCGCCAAAGUGGGAGCCCAGGCCGAGGAGGCGCAGAGAGAGAGCGAGGGCUGUGAGGACUGCCAGCACGCUGUCACCUCUCAAUGAAAUGGAUAAUUAAAAUAAAUGAGUUAUAGAAGCUACAUAUCAUUGGGAUUCAGAGAAGAGUGGUGGACAUCCAAAUCUCUUUGAAUCAUAUUAU